AUUGAACGCUGGCGGAAUGCUUUACACAUGCAAGUCGAACGGCAGCACGGGGGCAGCCCUGGUGGCGAGUGGCGAACGGGGGAGUAAUACAUGGGAACGUUCCCGGUCGUGGGGGAUAACGUAGCGAAAGUUACGCUAAUACCGCAUACGAUCUGAGGAUGAAAGCGGGGGACCUUCGGGCCUCGCGCGAUCGGAGCGGAUGAUGGCAGGUUAGGUAGUUGGUGCGAUAAAGGCUUACCAAGCCGACAAUCUGUAGCUGGUCUGAGAGGACGACCGGCCACACUGGAACUGAGACACAGCCCAGACUCCUACGGGACGCAACAGUGAAGCAUUUUGCACAAUGGCCACAAGCCUAGUCCACCCAUUCCUCGUGCAGGACGAAGGCCUUCUGGUUGUAAACUGCUUUUGUACGGAACUAAACGGCUCUGGCUAAUACCUCGUGCUCAUAACGGUACCUUAACAAUAAGCACCGGCUAACUACGUG
rnacentral:rRNA from 1 species